GACGAAGGUGGGCGAGCGUUGUUCGGAAUCACUGGGCAUAAAGCGCACGUAGGCGGUGACAUAAGUCGGGUGUGAAAUCCCUCGGCCUAACCGAGGAACUGCGCCCGAUACUGUGUUGCGUUGAGGACCAGAGGGGUGCAUGGAAUUUCCGGUGGAGCGGUGAAAUGCGUUGAUAUCGGAAGGAACUCCGGCGGCGAAAGCGAUGCACUGGCUGGUUUCUGACGCUGAGGUGCGAAAGCCCAGGGGAGCAAAACGGG
rnacentral:rRNA from 1 species